rnacentral:rRNA from 1 species
UCGAGCGGACAGAUGGGAGCUUGCUCCCUGAUGUUAGCGGCGGACGGGUGAGUAACACGUGGGUAACCUGCCUGUAAGACUGGGAUAACUCCGGGAAACCGGGGCUAAUACCGGAUGGUUGUUUGAACCGCAUGGUUCAAACAUAAAAGGUGGCUUCGGCUACCACUUACAGAUGGACCCGCGGCGCAUUAGCUAGUUGGUGAGGUAACGGCUCACCAAGGCAACGAUGCGUAGCCGACCUGAGAGGGUGAUCGGCCACACUGGGACUGAGACACGGCCCAGACUCCUACGGGAGGCAGCAGUAGGGAAUCUUCCGCAAUGGACGAAAGUCUGACGGAGCAACGCCGCGUGAGUGAUGAAGGUUUUCGGAUCGUAAAGCUCUGUUGUUAGGGAAGAACAAGUACCGUUCGAAUAGGGCGGUACCUUGACGGUACCUAACCAGAAAGCCACGGCUAACUACGUGCCAGCAGCCGCGGUAAUACGUAGGUGGCAAGCGUUGUCCGGAAUUAUUGGGCGUAAAGGGCUCGCAGGCGGUUUCUUAAGUCUGAUGUGAAAGCCCCCGGCUCAACCGGGGAGGGUCAUUGGAAACUGGGGAACUUGAGUGCAGAAGAGGAGAGUGGAAUUCCACGUGUAGCGGUGAAAUGCGUAGAGAUGUGGAGGAACACCAGUGGCGAAGGCGACUCUCUGGUCUGUAACUGACGCUGAGGAGCGAAAGCGUGGGGGAGCGAACAGGAUUAGAUACCCUGGUAGUCCACGCCGUAAACGAUGAGUGCUAAGUGUUAGGGGGUUUCCGCCCCUUAGUGCUGCAGCUAACGCACUAAGCACUCCGCCUGGGGGAGUACGGUCGCAGACUGAAACUCAAAGGAAUUGACGGGGGCCCGCACAAGCGGUGGAGCAUGUGGUUUAAUUCAAGCAACGCGAACAACCUUACCAGGUCUUGACAUCCUCUGACAAUCCUAGAGAUAGGACUUCCCCUUCGGGGGCAAAGUGACACGUGGUGCAUGGUAACCCUUGAUCUUAGUUGCCAGCAUUCAGUUGGGCACUCUAAGGUGACUGCCGGUGACAAACCGGAGGAAGGUGGGGAUGACGUCAAAUCAUCAUGCCCCUUAUGACCUGGGCUACACACGUGCUACAAUGGACAGAACAAAG